AUUGAACGCUGGCGGCAGGCCUAACACAUGCAAGUCGAGCGGAUGAAGGGAGCUUGCUCCUGGAUUCAGCGGCGGACGGGUGAGUAAUGCCUAGGAAUCUGCCUGGUAGUGGGGGAUAACGUCCGGAAACGGGCGCUAAUACCGCAUACGUCCUGAGGGAGAAAGUGGGGGAUCUUCGGACCUCACGCUAUCAGAUGAGCCUAGGUCGGAUUAGCUAGUUGGUGGGGUAAAGGCCUACCAAGGCGACGAUCCGUAACUGGUCUGAGAGGAUGACCAGUCACACUCGAACUGAGACACGGUCCAGACUCCUACGGGAGGCAGCAGUGGGGAAUAUUGGACAAAGGGCGAAAGCCUGAUCCAGCCAUGCCGCGUGUGUGAAGAAGGUCUUCGGAUUGUAAAGCACUUUAAGUUGGGAGGAAGGGCAGUAAGUUAAUACCUUGCUGUUUUGACGUUACCAACAGAAUAAGCACCGGCUAACUUCGUG
rnacentral:rRNA from 1 species